GGCGGAAGAGGCUGACAGGAAAGGAGACCGCCCCGCCGCUUUACUAUGAGGCAGCCCGUCACCCGCCGCACCCUUGAAUGGAUCUAUUCUGGGAUGCUUAUUACAGUUGUGUUACUUUCAUGGGGAUAUGUUAUCUAUGCAACAAGACUAGCAGCUCACUGGGAGCUAGAAAAGGAAGACUUCAGUAUGAAAGAAGCUGGAUAACUGCCCUGAGCUUAACGCAUCUUCUGUACCCCAUUCAAUAAAGUUUGCUUCAGAAUAUGCCUUUAGGAGUUACAUUGCAUCGUAAUAAAAAACUACUUUAA